AAAAAGAUAAGCUAAAUUUAAGCUUCUAGGUUCAUACCCUAUCUAUGAAAUAUUUUCUCUUUUUA
rnacentral:tRNA from 1 species